GCGGUCAGUGGAGGAGGGAGGAGCCUUCCAGCCCAGGGCCUGGCUGCUCCUGGCUAGCUGAAGAAGGAAAAUUCCAGUCACUUGGCUGCAGCCUGGGAACUUAUGGAAGGCAGAUGUUUUCUUGCAUGUUAUGAAACAGCCAUUGCAGAAGUAAAAUCUGUAGAAGAAUGGCCACACAGGGAACUCCAUGUCUGUCCUGGAAGAAGCAAUGAGGGAGAUGGUGACUGCUAGAACAAGGAAAGUUCCUUUGCGCUCAAGGACAUAACAAAUCAGUUGCCACUUUAACCUGUUCGGUAACUUCUCAUUUGUUCCCCAAGUUUCAUCCUGCGGGGCAGGAUGGAUAAAGGAGGGGGUCAAUAAACCUAACUCCAGAGCCCCUGUUCACCUCUGAAUGUGCAACCUUCACCAUCAGAGCCUCAAAAGCUGGAGCAGGGCACAUCUGUAAUCUCAGCACUGGAGAGAUGUAAGCAAGAGGAACCGUUCAAGGUCAUCCUCAACUACUCACUUUUGACAUAGGUGCUGCGGAUCUGAACUCAUGUCUUCACAAUUACGCAGCAAGUGCUCUUACCCACUGAGCCGUCUCCCAGCCGCAGAAUACAGCAGCCUGAAAAGGUUGCUAUGACAGACAAUCAAAGGAUUUUCCUGGAAAAGCACAGGACUGCCAGAAGAAAUGAGGCUCCCCAGCUCUGAUCAAUCAGUGACCUGACUAUGUGCCGAAUUAUUAAACUCUUGAGAACCAAUAAA